AGAGUUUGAUCCUGGCUCAGAUUGAACGCUGGCGGCAUGCCUUACACAUGCAAGUCGAACGGAUUUGAGGGGCUUGCUCCUCAAGUUAGUGGCGAACGGGUGAGUAAUGCAUCGGAACGUGCCCAGUUGUGGGGGAUAACGUAGCGAAAGUUACGCUAAUACCGCAUAAGCCUGAGGGAGAAAGCGGGGGAUCUUAGGAC
rnacentral:rRNA from 1 species